rnacentral:rRNA from 1 species
UACCGCAUACGAUCUAGUGGAUAGAAGCGGGGGAUCGCAAGACCUCGCGCGAUUGGAGCGGCCGAUAUCAGAUUAGGUAGUUGGUGGGGUAAAGGCUCACCAAGCCAACGAUCUGUAGCUGGUCUGAGAGGACGACCAGCCACACUGGAACUGAGACACGGUCCAGACUCCUACGGGAGGCAGCAGUGAGGAAUAUUGGACAAUGGGCGCAAGCCUGAUCCAGCCAUGCCGCGUGCAGGAUGACGGUCCUAUGGAUUGUAAACUGCUUUUGUACAGGAAGAAACACUACUUCGUGAAGUAGCUUGACGGUACUGUAAGAAUAAGGAUCGGCUAACUCCGUG